UACGGCCGUGUGACCCGGUUGCUCUGGACACUGGUGAUUCUGGUGUUUACGCGCCGUAAGCCAGCUAGUACCGGACGCAGCGGCCGAAGUCGCCUGGAGCCCGAGCGGCCUCCGAAGCCGUAAGACCGGAUAGGAGCCGUGCGUAAGUUACGGGUUUCAGGAUCGCAACCAACCGCUUCCACGGCCGUUGGCAGCUGGUUGGCAGUGAGGUGAGAUUCAGUUUUCGGAAAAUGGCGUCACCAUCAGAUUAAAAUUGAGACGGCUCCGUGUAAAUUCGCAGAAAAUUAUAAUAUUUUACGUCAAUGUUAUUCAGUGCGUGAAUUUAAAGUUGCCGCCAGUCUGGAACAUAUUCGGGAGCGAUCGCAGCCACCACUCAGCGUUGUUUAUUGAGGUUAGAAUCUAGUAAAUUGAUUUGUCAUCAUUGGUCAUUGCUCAUUACGUGUGUUCGUUUUUCGUUUAAUUUGGAGGUUUUCGAUAUAUUUUCUUGAUUCUGUGUGGUGCACGAUUGAUUCUAAAGUUCUGUGUGAUAACGCUUGUCAAAAACUUUCGGAAAUGCGACGAGAGUUAAGUGAAAAUUGUCAGUUUUACCUACGCACUGAGCUCAUAUCCUAUCCUCCUUUUGCUGAAGGGAAGAUCUAUAAUUUUAACAAGUGUGACAAUUUUCGGUGGUAUAUUUCUUCGCUAAUAUUUUGUGGAAAUUGCAUCCGGUUGUUAUUGCGGAGAGUUAUAUCUUGAAGUUUUGUCAACUUUUACUACUGAAUUUACACCUUGAAAUAUUCUCAACCUCAUUUUCAAGAUUCUGAAGCUCUUCUAGUCAUAAGGAGUAAAACUCUGUAAGUACCUAGACCCACGCCAGUGGUUUUCCUUUGUUAAUCAUUUAGGUGAUUUCCUACUUUGCAUUCGUAUUUUUUAUCGAGGGAUGAACCAGGUUUUGUUUUUGUAAAAUGCUGAAUUCUCAUUGAGUGAAAGUAAUUACAUUUAUUGAGAACGGGCUGCCAAGUGAUAAAAAUGAUUUUUCAAUUUACAUUUUUCGCUGCAAUGAGUUUUAGCAAUUUAUCAUACCUUGGGCAGUCUGUUCUACAUUUAAAAUAGGUAGCAAGAAUUUUUGAUCUAUCUACAUUUGUUCCUUCAUGUCUUGGUGGUUGGACUAUUUCCAUAACGUUGUACCUACCCAGUCAAUUGGAUAUAUAUGGCUGAUCAAACUGAUCGUGAAAAUGCCUGAAACAUCUUUGCACCCUGCCGUACAUACAUACCCGUACAAAUGUUCUUAUCAUCCCAAAAGCUGAAGUAAUGUUAUUGUCAACCUGAUAUGGGCUAAAAUGAGAGGAAUUAUCUAAUUUUUGUUUGUUUAUCCAUCAAACAUUGACAAGUAUUCCGCAGACUUAAUAAGCUAUAGUCAACUGCUUCAAAUCUAUGAACUUUACUCAUUUUUGUCCUAAAAAUAAAUUCCAAGGUACCUAUUUACUGCAAAGCUAAGAAUCAGUUGAAUACUUCUAAGCCAAAGUUUAUUCUGCUAUCUACAAAUUAGAGUGCUUUAUUUAUUUCUGGGAAGGCUUGCAACAUUAAAGUUAGGUUUUUGAAAAUUUCUCUUGAUAUCUCUACACGAUGAAUAAGCUAACAUUCAUAUGCUGAUUUUCUUUCUCAAUAAGCAUCAUCUCUUUUUCUUUCUCAGUCAGUGAAUUAUCC
rnacentral:lncRNA from 1 species